CAGGGUGUAGUUCAGUUGGGAGAACGCCGGAAUCGGGUUCCGGAGGUCGCUGGUUCAAGCCCAGUCACCCUGA
rnacentral:tRNA from 1 species